AUGCCCAGACGUCUGAGCAGGACACGGUGCAGGCCGCAGUACUGAGCCUUCUUUCUGCGCAGAUAGUUCCCUCUUUAGUGUUACUCUUCAGCUGUGUUUGUUUUCUGGCGUCAAUUUAAGAAACAUAUUAUUCCAUCUUGGAAACCCAUUUUAAACAACCCAAUCCGCGUGGGAGCGAAGUGAGGAACAGCGAAACAAGACUCGGCCAUGUCGUACUACUCAUCCUCCCGAAGUUCUUCUCGAGCCCCGGAUUGCAAAGUCUAUGUGGGUGACUUGGGCAACGGUGCAGCCAAAGGAGAGCUGGAGAGAGCGUUCAGUUAUUAUGGGCCCCUGAGGAGUGUGUGGGUGGCCCGAAACCCACCUGGGUUUGCCUUUGUAGAGUUUGAAGACACCAGGGAUGCUGAAGAUGCUGUUAAAGGCAUGGAUGGAAAGGUGCUGUGUGGCUCUCGUGUUCGGGUAGAGAUGUCUACUGGCCUCUCCAGGAAGGGCCGUGGGCGUCCAAGUCGGCGCCAGUUUGAUCCCAAUGACCGGUGUUAUCAGUGUGGGGAUAGGGGCCACUACGCCUAUGACUGCUACCGCUUCAGCAAGAGGGGAGGAGGAGGUGGAGGAGGGGGCAGACGCAGCAGGUCCCGGUCCCGAUCUCGGUCCCGCUCACGCUCUCAUGGCCGCCGCUACCGUUCUCGCUCCCGGAGCCGCAGCUACAGCCGGAGCCGCCGUCGCUCUCCUUCCUAUUCCCGGCGCAGAAGCAGGUCUGGCUCCCCUGCACGCUCUAAAUCCAGGACUCCGGUCAGAAGUCGCUCUAGGUCUCGAUCAGGCUCUGCCCCUAGGGGACGAUCUGUGUCUCGCUCCCGCUCUCGAUCUCGCUCAUCUCACAAGAGGAACAGCCUAUGGUGGGACCUGAGCACUGCAUUGACACUGCAGCUGAUCCCAGGCCCUUGUCCGUGUGUGCGUCCUGCGGGAGGGUGACUUAGCGCUGACCUGAGCAGCCACCUCCCCGUAGCCAAGUGUGUUCGACCGGCGCACACAUAGAGUCGUUCUUCUAGAGUCAGCCAACCUUCAGACGUACUGGGGGCUGAUCCACACAGAUCAGAGCUACAGCACUUUAAAUCCAUAACCCUACCUACCAGAGCCCCACUACCUACCAGAGUUCUGCAGCCUCUUAGCUUCUGACAGUCAAAGAGAGAGCUGACGAGAGAUCAGUCUUCAAGACCCUGCGCGGUGUCUCUCCGAGUUGUAGUCAUCCGUCCUUCAGUCCUAUCAUCCUUCGCUUCUCUGUACUUGUUGUUUCUGCUACUGUCUCCAAAGUCGUUCCAGGUCGGCAAGCCCUGCCAGAAGCGCCACGCCAGCCGAUGACUAAGAAGUGUUUUUCUGCUUGUAAACAGACCCUCAGCCCUAUAGUGUAUUCUCUAUUGCAGCCCUCCCUACACAUAGUCCCAAUGCACUGAU